UACGUAGGGUGCAAGCGUUGUCCGGAAUUAUUGGGCGUAAAGAGCGUGUAGGCGGCCCGGUUAGUCCGCUGUGAAAGUCCAGGGCUCAACCCUGGAAUGCCGGUGGAUACUGUCGGGCUAGAGUCCGGAAGGGGCGAGUGGAAUUCCUGGUGUAGCGGUGAAAUGCGCAGAUAUCAGGAGGAACACCAAUAGCGAAGGCAGCUCGCUGGGACGGUACUGACGCUAAGGCGCGAAAGCGUGGGGAGCGAACAGG
rnacentral:rRNA from 1 species